GCUGGUUGAUCCUGCCAGUAGCAUAUGCUUGUCUCAAAGAUUAAGCCGUGCAUGUCUGAGUACCAACCGCCGGUACAGUGAAACUGCGAAUGGCUCAUUAAAUCAGUUAUGGUUCCUUUGGUUGCUUGCUCCUCUCCUACUUGGAUAACUGUGGUAAUUCUAGAGCUAAUACCUGCCGAGGGGCGCUGACCCCCUUCGCGGGGGUGGAUGCCUGCAUUUAUCAGAUCAAAACCAACCCGGUCAGCCCCUCUCCGGCCCCGGCCUGGGGGCGGGCGCCGGCACCUUUGGUGACUCUAGAUAACCUCCGGCGGAUCGCAAGUCCCCCGUGGCGGCAACGACCCAUUCAAACGUCUGCCCUAUCAACUUUUGAUGGUAGUGGCCGUGCCUACCAUGGUGACCACGGGUGACGGAAUCAGGGUUCGAUUUUGGAGAGGGAGCCUGAGAAACGGCCACCACGUCCAAGGAAGGCAGCAGGCGUGCAAAUUACCCACCCCCGACCCGGGGAGAUAGUGACAAAAAAUAACAAUACAGGACUCUUUCGAGGUCCUGUAAUUGGAAUGAGUGCACUUUAAAUCCUUUAACGAUCCAUUGGAGGGCAAGUCUGGUGCCAGCAGCCACGGUAAUUCCAGGUCCAAUCGCGUACAUUAAAGUUGCUGCAGUUAAAAAGCUCGUAGUUGGAUCUUGGGAGCGGGCGGGUGGUCUGCCAUGAGGCGAGCCACCGCCCAUCCCGCCCCUUGCCUCUCGGCGCCCCUCGAUGCUCUUAGCUGAGUGUCCCGCGGGGCCCAAAGCGUUUACUUUGAAAAAAUUAGAGUGUUCAAAGCAGGCCCAAGCCGCCUGGAUACCGCAGCUAGGAAUAAUGGAAUAGGACCGUGGUUCUAUUUUGUUGGUUUUCGGAACUGAGGCCAUGAUUAAGAGGGACGACCGGGGGCAUUCGUAUUGCACCACUAGAGGUGAAAUACUUGGACCGGGCGCAAGACGGACCAGAGUGAAAGUAUUUGCCAAGAAUGUUUUCAUUAAUCAAGAACGAAAGUCAGAGGUUUGACAACGAUCAGAUACCAUCGUAGUUCCGACCAUAAAUUAUGCUGACUGGCGAUGCAGUGGCGUUAUUCCCAUGACCUGCUGGGCAGCUUCCAGGAAACCAAAGUCUUUGAGUUCCAGGGGGAGUAUGGUUGCAAAGCUGAAACUUAAAGGAAUUGACGGAAGGGCACCACCAGGAGUGGAGCCUGCGGCUUAAUUUGACUCAACACGGAAACCUCACCUGGCCCGGACACAGACAGGAUUGACAGAUUGAUAGCUCUUUCUUGAUUCCGUGGGUGGUGGUGCAUGGCCGUUCUUAGUUGGUGGAGCGAU
rnacentral:rRNA from 1 species